GACGAACGCUGGCGGCGUGCCUAAUACAUGCAAGUAGAACGCUGAAGGAGGAGCUUGCUUCUCUGGAUGAGUUGCGAGCGGGUGAGUAACGCGUAGGUAACCUGCCUGGUAGCGGGGGAUAACUAUUGGAAACGAUAGCUAAUACCGCAUAAUAGCAGUUGUUGCAUGACAACUGUUUGAAAGGUGCAAUUGCACCACUACCAGAUGGACCUGCGUUGUAUUAGCUAGUUGGUGGGGUAACGGCUCACCAAGGCGACGAUACAUAGCCGACCUGAGAGGGUGAUCGGCCACACUGGGACUGAGACACGGCCCAGACUCCUACGGGAGGUAGCAGUAGGGAAUCUUCGGCAAUGGACGGAAGUCUGACCGAGCAACGCCGCGUGAGUGAAGAAGGUUUUCGGAUCGUAAAGCUCUGUUGUAAGAGAAGAACGAGUGUGAGAGUGGAAAGUUCACACUGUGACGGUAUCUUACCAGAAAGGGACGGCUAACUACGUG
rnacentral:rRNA from 1 species